AUUGAACGCUGGCGGCAGGCUUAACACAUGCAAGUCGAGCGAGCGGCGGACGGGUGAGUCGUGUAUGGGAAACUGCCUGAUGGAGGGGUAUAACUACUGGAAACGGUAGCUCAUACCGCAUACCAUCAGAUGUGCCCAGAUGGGAUUGGCUAGGAGGUGGGGUAAGGGAGCACUUAGGCGACGAUCCCUAGCUGGUCUGAGAGGAUGACCAGCCACACUGGAACUGAGACACGGUCCAGACUCCUACGGGAGGCAGCAGUGGGGAAUAUUGCACAAUGGGCGCAAGCCUGAUGCAGCCAUGCCGCGUGUGUGAAGAAGGCCUUCGGGUUGUAAAGCACUUUCAGCGAGGAGGCGUUACUCACAGAAGAAGCACCGGCUAACUCCGUGCCAGCAGCCGCGGUAAUUC
rnacentral:rRNA from 1 species